AACAGGCAAAUAUAAGAAUUAUUAACUUAAAAACAAAUAAAUAAAACAGUACUGAAAAAUUAUUUUGAUCCAUGUAGGAGAAGAAGGUGUCACAGCAACUAAUAAUAAGUACAAUAUGUUGUUACAAUAAGUAACUACUGCUGUUUCAUUGAUAUAGGAAGCUCUGUGUUUUAAACCAGGUUCAAGCCAAUGGCUCUCAGGAAUACUUGGUAAGUAGACACUUGUGUAGCAUAUCAGGCCAAAAAUGACAAAGAUAGAUUUACUAAUCAGGUGAGCCAAGAUACAUGCAUGGCUUUGUGCCUCACAGAAUUGAAUAUUCAGGACAGGCUGUUGGUGGAGCGAAUGCUGGCAGAACCAAACUCCAUGUGUGAAUGACUGUACCCAUAACCAGUUAUUUUUCAAUCUUCACCAAUUACAGAGAAGCAGAACAACUUCAGGACUGAAGUAUAAAGGGUUUGGGGUGAAGUAUUUGAACUUGAAACUUGUAGCUCACCAAUUAGGACAAUGACAGGUUGUGAAACUUAGUGUAUGUUCAGACAAGGUCAUUGAAAUCAGUCCUGGAUCUACUCUAGCCUUCACUCUCUAAUAUGGGAGGAGUCUUUGCUUAAUGAAAAGUGUGUAUGUGGAUUUCUUAAAUGAGUAUUUAUUUAUUUUUAGUGUGGAUUUUUACAGCUGCUAUUUUUAAUGAAAUAAAUACAAAUUUGUUUCUGCCCACAGCUGCGUGCCAUUGCAAGUUUGGGUUGGAGUGCUGAAAAUGGUUCUGUCCUCAGGGAACUUCGAUGUGGUUGUUUGAUAUGAAGCAUAUCCUCUUACUUAGAGAUGCCAGCCUCCUCAAAAGUUCAUGCUGUGGUAAGUCUUUCAUCAUAACUUGUUUCCCAGUCCACCAUCUCUCCAAAAAAUCCUUGCCAGGAAAAAAC
rnacentral:lncRNA from 1 species